UACGUAGGGGGCGAGCGUUGUCCGGAUUUAUUGGGCGUAAAGAGCGUGUAGGCGGCCUGGUAGGUCUGCUGUGAAAACUCGAGGCUCAACCUCGAGACGUCGGCGGAAACCAUCUGGCUAGAGUCCGGAAGAGGAGAGUGGAAUUCCUGGUGUAGCGGUGAAAUGCGCAGAUAUCAGGAAGAACACCCGUGGCGAAGGCGGCUCUCUGGGACGGUACUGACGCUGAGACGCGAAAGCGUGGGGAGCGAACAGG
rnacentral:rRNA from 1 species